GCACGUAGUUAGCCGUGGCUUACGCAAGGUACCGUCGUACCGCGGGAUUAUUCAGCCCGCAGCUCUCUUCCCUUGCUUGAGAGGUUUACAUCCCGAAGGAUUUCCUCCCUCACGCGGCGUUGCUGGGUCAGGCUUGCGCCCAUUGCCCAAAAUUCCCCACUGCUGCCUCCCGUAGGAGUCUGGCCCGUGUGUCAGUGCCAGUGUGGCUGGCCGUCCUCUCAGACCAGCUACAGAUCGCAGCCUUGGUGAGCCAUUACCUCACCAACUAGCUAAUCUGCCGCAGGCUCCUCUUCAGGCGCGAGGUCUUGCGAUCCCCCGCUUUAACAACUAAUCACCAUUAGGUGCCGCUGCAUUAUGCGGUAUUAGCCCAAGUUUCCCUGGGUUAUUCCCCACCCGAGGGUAGAUUACCCACGUGUUACUCACCCGGACGCCACUCUACUUACCCCCGAAGGGGCUUUCGCGUUCGACUUGCAUGUGUUAGGCACGCCGCCAGCGUUGAUU
rnacentral:rRNA from 1 species